rnacentral:tRNA from 1 species
UGGAGAUGUCACUUGGUGGUAGAGUAUCUGCUUGGAAUGCAGAAGGUCCCCUGUUCAAUCCCCAGCGUCCCAA